GACAGGUCACUUGAAGGCUCCCUGAGAGCUGUGCAGGAGCAGCUCCAGCAGAGCAGGUGCAGCCUCAGCUGCAGGUGUUGGGGAGGAACCUCCCAGCCCAGAUGGCAGCUGAUUGUUCCCUUCUCUCUGUGCUCCUGAUCUCACCUGAUCCAGCUGGAGAAGCUGAUGUCACCUGGCAGUGACAGUCACCUGUGUCACCAGUGCUGAGCACACAGCAUCAGAGAGCUGGGAGCAGCUUCUAAGGACUAGCUGGAGCAUCACCUGUGUUUUUGGGGGGUUGCAGACAAAAUGCAUCAGCUGAGGUCCCAGACACGAGGGUGGGAGAGCUGCAGUCCUUCCCUACAGCAUCACUGCACAAGGUUGUCUUCUAAAACCUGCACAAUGAAAGACGCCAUCUGUGCCAUAUCCUCCUGUUUAUGUCUGCUGCAUCUCUGCAGGCUGGAACCUGUUGUGGUUGCCAACACGGAGCCUCUCCAGCUGAUGAACUUCUGGGCUUGGCUUUUGAUUUUCUUUUCUCUCACAGGCAUGACUCACAUAAUAGUGCAGAGAGAAAGAAAGAAAGAAAUUUCCAGUUGCAGGGCUAUUUCUGAAAGUGUGCUUGGCACCUGUGCUGAAAUCCUGCCUGGAAGAGAAGGGGUGAGGUCCACAAUACCCAAAGGCAGCGCCCUGAUGAAUUCCUGACAGGGAGGGUUGAGUGGUAAUUCAUCCAUCAACCUGGGGAAGACUCUGUACCUCUCUUCCAGAUAAUUGAACUUUAAUUUAUUUAAAUUUAAUGGAAAACCAUAUGGAGAGGAACAGAAAGCUAAUUUAAAGCACUGCUCAAAGCAAUCAAUAUGUUAACAGAUUCCUUCAACAUUUCACAUUCGGUUGCUGAAAAAUGUUUAAAAUGUAUGGUUUUUUUUAAUUAGUAUUAUGAAAACACAGGGUUUCUGGCAUGUUGUAUUCAAAACUCAAGAGCCAAAAUAAGCCUCUGUUGUGAAAAUUGAAAUAUACUCUGGAAGCACAAAUCAUUUUAUUGGAAGUGGAAGUGACAACUGUUUAAUAUUUUACCCAAAAAUGCACAUCUCUGAAGACUUCUAGGAAGACACCUAUAAAUCCUAAAGGGCUCACAUCACUGGGUUUCAUAUGGCCCUGAAAUAAAAGCAGUAAAAUAAUUGUAGGAGUUGCA
rnacentral:lncRNA from 1 species